rnacentral:ncRNA from 2 species
UGACCUCGGAUCAGGUAGGAAUACCCGC